rnacentral:rRNA from 1 species
UUUAACUGAAGAGUUUGAUCAUGGCUCAGAUUGAACGCUGGCGGCAGGCUUAACACAUGCAAGUCGAGCGGGGGAAGGUAGCUUGCUACCGGACCUAGCGGCGGACGGGUGAGUAAUGCUUAGGAAUCUGCCUAUUAGUGGGGGGCAACAUCUCGAAAGGGAUGCUAAUACCGCAUACGUCCUACGGGAGAAAGCAGGGGAUCUUCGGACCUUGCGCUAAUAGAUGAGCCUAAGUCGGAUUAGCUAGUUGGUGGGGUAAAGGCCUACCAAGGCGACGAUCUGUAGCGGGUCUGAGAGGAUGAUCCGCCACACUGGGACUGAGACACGGCCCAGACUCCUACGGGAGGCAGCAGUGGGGAAUAUUGGACAAUGGGGGGAACCCUGAUCCAGCCAUGCCGCGUGUGUGAAGAAGGC